rnacentral:lncRNA from 1 species
ACCAGGUAACUUUAUAAACGAUGAAUUGUAAACAUAACAGAUUAACUAGCAAUACCCAGAAAAUGAGAAGAAGGGUCAAAAAAUGUGUAGAGGAAGUCAGAGAACAGAAAGGUCAUGGAGGCCAGGAAUGUGCUGUCAUUUAUACAGCAUUCAAGAGAUGUUUAUUGAUAUACACUUAGGACCGAAACCAUGCAGAAUAUGUUAUAACAGAGGGAGGUGCAAGGCACUAAGUUCACUGAGGGAGUGACACCCCAAAAGUUCACUCAAUGUGGCAUGAAAUUCACCCCAAAGUGACAAAUCCUUGAAGAGUUGUAGAGUGAACGGAGAGCACAAAGCAAAUGUUCUCUUUAUCUGGCCCACUGAAGGCAAAACUUGGAAGAAGGUUGGAAUUCCCUGCCCGGGGAGUGGGAUAUUAGCAAACAUGUGAGAGAAGCAGGAUCUUUAAAAGGAGCUCACGUGAUUCGGCCUGUUCUCUAGCACCUCUGCCAUU